rnacentral:rRNA from 1 species
ACCCAGGCAUGCUCAGUACGGCGAGUGAGCGGCAAAAGCUCAAAUUUGAAAUCUGGCACUUUCAGUGUCCGAGUUGUAAUUUGUAGAAGUAGUUUUGGGACUGGUCCUUAUCUAUGUUUCUUGGAACAGGACGUCAUAGAGGGUGAGAACCCCGUAUGAUGAGGCCCCCAGUCCUUUGUAAAACGCUUUCGAAGAGUCGAGUUGUUUGGGAAUGCAGCUCUAAGUGGGUGGUAAAUUCCAUCUAAAGCUAAAUAUUGGCGAGAGACCGAUAGCGAACAAGUACAGUGAUGGAAAGAUGAAAAGAACUUUGAAAAGAGAGUGAAAAAGUACGUGAAAUUGUUGAAAGGGAAGGGCAUUUGAUCAGACAUGGUGUUUUGCGCCCUUUGCUCCUUGUGGGCGGAGGAUACGCAGCUCACUGGGCCAACAUCAGUUUUGGGAGCAGGAUAAAUCUGUAGGAACGUAGCUUUCUUCGGGAAGUGUUAUAGCCUAUGGGAAUACUGCUACCUGGGACUGAGGACUGCGUCUUUUGACAAGGAUGUUGGCAUAAUGGUUAAAUGCCGCCCGUCUUGAACCCACGGACCA